AACGAACGCUGGCGGCAGGCUUAACACAUGCAAGUCGAGCGCCCCGCAAGGGGAGCGGCAGACGGGUGAGUAACGCGUGGGAAUCUACCCAUCUCUACGGAAUAACGCAUGGAAACGUGUGCUAAUACCGUAUACGUCCUUCGGGAGAAAGAUUUAUCGGAGAUGGAUGAGCCCGCGUUGGAUUAGCUAGUUGGUGGGGUAAAGGCCUACCAAGGCGACGAUCCAUAGCUGGUCUGAGAGGAGGAUCAGCCACACUGGGACGGAGACACGGCCCAGACUCCUACGGGAGGCAGCAGUGGUGAAUAUUGGACAAUGGGCGCAAGCCUGAUCCAGCCAUGCCGCGUGAGUGAUGAAGGCCCUAGGGUUGUAAAGCUCUUUCACCGGUGAAGAUAAUGACGGUAACCGGAGAAGAAGCCCCGGCUAACUUCGUGCCAGCCGCCGCCGUAAUAC
rnacentral:rRNA from 1 species